UACAGAGGUCUCGAGCGUUGUUCGGAUUCAUUGGGCGUAAAGGGUGCGUAGGCGGCGUGGCAAGUCUGAUGUGAAAUCCCGGGGCUCAACCCCGGAACUGCAUUGGAUACUGCCAUGCUCGAGUACUGGAGAGGAGACUGGAAUUACGGUGUAGCAGUGAAAUGCGUAGAGAUCGUAAGGAAGACCAGUGGCGAAGGCGAGUCUCUGGACAGUUACUGACGCUGAGGCACGAAGGCCAGGGGAGCAAACGGG
rnacentral:rRNA from 1 species